GGAGCAAUAGCUCAGUUGGGAGAGCGCCUGCCUUACAAGCAGGUGGUCGGGGGUUCAAGUCCCUCUUGCUCCACCA
rnacentral:tRNA from 1 species